CUCUGGCCAAGCUGACAGAAUCUUAUCUUUCAGUUUAACCUUUAAUGGCUCUAUUUUUAUGACGCUUCUUUUACAAGGGCCCCAUUGAAGAACACCACAAAGCCAUAAGGUUUUUUUCAAAUUCACAAUUUCACUUGCCCCUCUCCCUCUUAACAUCAAAAUUCGGCACCAUUGUUCAACCGCUACUUUAACAAACUUUUCUUCAUUCAAGGCCUCCUUUUACCGCACUUGAGUGAGGAAACUGAUUCUGCUACUUUCUCUAUGUAAGGCGCCUGUGGCAUAUUUUCUCCUCAAGUUACUUUUGCUUCUACAUCCAAUAUCUAAGUUCUAUACCUAUUCUACAUUCUUUCCUUACAUACUGUCUCCGUUUGUGGGCAGCUUUGAUAUAGUUGUGCAUUAAC